ensembl:lncRNA
GUCUAGUCUAGUCUAGUCUAGUCUAGUCUGCCUGUCUGUCUAGUCUAGUCUAGUCUAGUCUAGUCUGUCUGUCUAAUCUGUCUGUCUAGUCUAGUCUAGUCUUGUCCAUCUGUCUGUCUAGUCUAGUCUUGUCUGUCUGUCUAGUCUAGUCUAGUCUGUCUGUCUGUCUGUCUAGUCUAGUCUAGUCUAGUCUGUCUGUCUAAUCUGUCUGUCUAGUCUAGUCUAGUCUUGUCCAUCUGUCUGUCUAGUCUAGUCUUGUCUGUCUGUCUAGUCUAGUCUAGUUUAUUUUUGUCUGUCUGUCUGUCUGUCUGUCUGUCUAGUCUAGUCUUGUCCGUCUGUCUGUCUAGUCUUGUCCGUCUGUCUGUCUGUCUGUCUGUGUGUCUAGUCUAGUCUUGUCUGUCUGUCUAGUCUAGUCUAGUCUAGUCUAGUCUGUCUGUCUAGUCUAGUCUAGUCUUGUCCGUCUGUCUGUCUAGUCUAGUCUUGUCCGUCUGUCUGUCUGUCUGUCUAGUCUAGUCUUGUCUGUCUGUCUAGUCUAUCUAGUCUAGUCUGUGCAUAAACACCAGUAUAUUUCACCAUAUAUUUUUACUAAAAUAUUAAGAUCAUAAAAAUGGCGGAUUUAUUAAAUGAAUUAAAAUGUCAAAAUAUAUUAUUAACAUGUAUUUAAAAAUAUUAAAGUUUAUAUUUGUAAUAUUUAUUAUAUAUGUAAUGGCAAUAUAAUGAGACAAAUCUUAUUUAAUAUAAAUAUAUUAUAUAACAGUGUUGUCUAAUUUUUAAAUUUGUGGAAUUUUUAUAUCAGCAGUGUUUUCUGUAUGUAAUAUAUUUCAUGUUGCCCAGCGCUGUGUCAGGUGUAGUUUUGCAAGAUUUCUUUUCAGAUACAAUGCAUGUGUUUUUUUUCUUGGUGUCUUUCAUCACUGGGCUUGUUAAGUCACGCUGUGCUGCCUGUAUUGUGGUGGCUCGGCUCCUGAGGCGCUCUGGAGAACAAUGCCGAGGGGAGAUCCAGCUGAAGGACAGACCCCCUCCUGCUGUGAUUAAAGGUGGAGCAGACCAGCAGGCCUGACCUCGUCCUGUUCCUCAUGAAGUAUCUGAUGGUGCUGGUGGUUGGGAUCCCGUCGGUGUUCUGGGUGGGCAGUAAGAAGACCUGCUUCGAGUGGGCCAGCUUCUUCCACGGCCGCAGGCGGAAAGAGUGAGUUACAGAACCUUCCUCACUCUGCUUCACUUCACAGGAGACAACAUUUAAAACUAGACACCACCAAGUGCUUUCGGAAGUACAAGAAUAUGUUUUUCAGACGAAGAACAACAGACAUUGUAUGGAACAGUAAUGUACUUACUGCCAUCAACAGUUUUAUUUAUAAAAGCUUUCUAAAAUUGUGGCACAGAUACUGUGAAAAAGAAAAUGAAAAUUAGAUGUAUUAUUUCUAUUUUUA